rnacentral:lncRNA from 1 species
UGUAUGUUUGGAGUUCCGAGCCUUGGAAUAGGUUCAUAUCGUGAUUUGUGACUUGCAUGUAAAGUUUGGCAUCAUUCCAAGAUGUUUAAGUGUAAUUCAGACGUGUUCGGUAAAAUUUGAAGGUUGGAAAGUUCAAAGAAAGGUUUUGGCCGUUGAUUCAUAAUUUUGAUGUUGUUUGACGUGAUUUGAGGUUUUGACUAAGUCUGUAUCGUGUUUUGGGAUGUGUCGGUAUGUUUGUAUUGGGUCCCGGGGGCCUCAGGUGCGAAUCAGAUUGGAAACAGAUCGAGUUUGGACUUGGGAUAAUUGCUGAAGUUUAAGGCUUUUGGUGUGAUCGCACAUGUGAGGAUAUGGCCGCAGGUGCGAGACCGCAAAAGCGGCCCAGGGGUCGCAGAAGCGGUCCAGGGAUAGUAGAAGCGGUUGGUGAUUGAGGCUGGUUGGAUUCACAGGUGCGAUGAAUUAACCGCACCUGCGGGCUCGCAGAUGCGGGCGGAGGAGCGCAAAAGAGGAAGUGGUCAGGACUGGAGGAGUGUAGGUGCGGGUGUGGUAGUGCACCUGCGGAGCUGCAUGUGCGGUCAUGGGCGAGCAUGUGCAGAGUGUUGCUCGAGCUGGGGAGUCCACAUAUAUGGGGGAUUUCCGCAGAAGCGGAUGCGCAUCUACGAUUGAGUGUCCACAUAAGCAAAAAAAACUGGAACCUUGGGGAAACGCAUCAUGAGGUAGCUUCCGCAGAAGCGGGGCUGCAGAAGUGCAAGGGAUUCCGCAGGUGCAGAAAAUUGACUGGGUAGAUUGUUUAAUAAUCAGGAUUUUUCUCAUAGCGUUGCUUGUGAAGGAGUCAUCGGGCAUUGGAUGUUAAUACUCUAUUAUUCCAUAUGGGUUGUAAGAGGCUUGAUUAUUCGCACAUGUGUUGAGGUCCCGUGUAGCUUGUGGUGUUAUAUGAGCAGGAUGGCUCUCGAGAUGCAGGUCAUUUAUCGCACCUUAGUUAUGCUUAGGUUUUGUAGCGUUUGGCGCUAUCCGUCUCCCCAGGGUUAUAUUUUGCACUUGGCGUGCUUGUGGUCGAUAUUCAGUAUUUCAUAAGUAUAAGCAUUAUGUCUUGAUGGGUAUUUCCUUAUAUAUUAUUAUGUGUGGAUCGGGUGGCACACCGCCACGGGUAUGUUGUUUGGGUUGGGUUGCACGCCGCAAUGGUAUCAUGUGUGGAUCGGGUUGCACGCCGCAACAGUGAGAUGUUGAGUGCGGUUCCCUAUAUACAUUCUUGUGUAUGUUGUUUCUCAUCCUCUAAGAAGAGUUCAUGGCUUCUUUUUGGUUGUUUUAUUUGUUACGCGGCUGGGUAGUUCUUUUUCCAGAAUCCGUUCUUCCUUAUGUGUCAUAUUCCGGUGGUAGCUUAUUGGUGCAUUGAUUUCGUCAUAUGAGAUCUUGGUCAGUGUUUGAGGUGGCUUAUUGCCUGAGCAGCUUGUACUAGGUGAGACGUGGCUAUUGGACCUGAAAUCGAUGCGAUCCGAUUUAUGCAAGGUGUAUUGUGUAGGGUAUUGAUUUGGCGGGUGGUUAUGAGUUCCUACGCAUCUCUUUCAUCGUUGCAGUAUUGUGAGGAUUGAAACCGGGCUUAUAUGUCUUAUGAGGUAUGCUACGGGAGCCGGGUCAAUGAAUUUGCAGUUGUUGUUCUUGGAGGAGGUUGCCUUGGUCAAAUGAGUUAUGCGGUGCAUUGUGUGGGGUCACCAUGGGUACAUGAUCAUGUGUGGGUUCAGCAUGUGGGGAUUGAUAUGGUGUUCGUAUGUUAGAUACAGGUCUUGUAAAGAAAUUCGGAAGUUGGAAUUUGGAUCUAAGGCUUAUUAACUAAAUAAAAAGGAGGAUCUAUAGUCUGGCUCGAGCUAACGUAUUCACCUGGGUUGUGGUGGCACGGGUUGGUGCACGAGGUGUUGAGUAGUGAUUUUGAGGCAACUCCAGAGCAUUUCUUAGCACGUUCGAGGACGAACAUAGAAUGUAAUGACCCGACCUGUCAUUUUGAGCUCUAGUGCGACGUUCGGCAGUUUGAGGCCUUAAGUAGUUUCACUUCAUGUUUUAUGACUUGUACGCAUGGUCGAAAUUUAAUUUCGGGAAGUUCGGAGUUGAUUUGGAAGGAAAAUUCGAAUUUCGGAAGCUUUAAGUUGGAAGAAUUGACUAAGGUUUGACUUGUGAGUAAACGACCUCGGAAUCGGGAUUUCAAGGUUCUAAUAGGUUCAUAUGAUGAUUUCUUACUUAGGCGUAUGUUCGGGUUGAAUAUUGGGUGGACCGGAAGCAUUUCGGCACUUAUUAUGGAAGGUUAGCAUUUUGGAAGUUUAUGAAUUUCUUAAGUUCGAUUUGAAAGAAAUUUUCGUGUAAUCGAUGUCUGUUUGGAGUUUCGAGCCUUGGAAUAGGUUUGUAUCGUGAUUUAUGACUUGCACGUAAAGUUUGACGUCAUUCCGGGAUGUUUAAGUGUAAGUCGGACGCGUUCGGCGAAGUUUGAAGGUUGAAAAGUUGAAAGAAAAGUUUUGACCGUCGAUUCAUAAUUUCGACAUUGUUUGACUUGAUUUGAGGAUUCGACUAAGUCCUUAUCGUGUUUUGUGAUGUGUCGGUAUGUUUGGUGACGGAUUGCUGAAGCUUAAGGCUUGGAAAUCCGUCACCAAGCCUCGGGUGCGAAUCAGAUUGGAAACGGUUCGAGUUUGGACUUGGGGGAAUUGCUGAAGCUUAAGGCUUCUGGUAUGAUCACAUCUGCAAGGUUAUGGCCGCAGGUAUGAGACCGUAGAAGCGGCUCAGGGGUUGCAGAAGCGAUUGGGGAUUGAGGUUGGUUGGAUUCGCAGAUGCGAGGAAUAUACCGCACCUACGGGCUCGCAGAUGUGGGUGGAGUAGCGCAAAAGCGGAAGUGGUCUGGACUGGAAGAGCGCAGGUGCAGAUGUGGUAGCGCACCUGCGGAGCCGCAGGUGCGGUCAUGGGCGCGCAGGUGUGGAGUGUUGCUCGAGCGGGGGAGUCCGGAAAUGCGGGAGAUUUUCGCAGAAGCGGAUGCACAUCUGCGAUUGAGUGUCCGCAGAAGCGGAAAAAUCUGUCACCUUGGGAGAAAUGC